UACCAAGGCGACGAUCUAUAGCUGGUCUGAGAGGACGAUCAGCCACACUGGGACUGAGACACGGCCCAGACUCCUACGGGAGGCAGCAGUGGGGAAUAUUGGACAAUGGGCGCAAGCCUGAUCCAGCAAUACCGCGUGUGUGAAGAAGGCCCUAGGGUUGUAAAGCACUUUCAAUGGGGAGGAAAACAGUCAGAUUAAUACCCUGGCUCUUGACAUUACCUUUAGAAGAAGCACCGGCUAACUCCGUGCCAGCAGCCGCGGUAAUACGGAGGGUGCGAGCGUUAAUCGGAAUUACUGGGCGUAAAGCGUGCGUAGGCGGUUCGUUAAGUCAGAUGUGAAAGCCCCGGGCUUAACCUGGGAACUGCAUUUGAAACUGGCGAACUAGAGUUUAAUAGAGGGGAGUGGAAUUUCAGGUGUAGCGGUGAGAUGCGUAGAUAUCUGAAGGAACACCAGUGGCGAAGGCGACUCCCUGGAUUAAAACUGACGCUGAGGUACGAAAGCGUGGGUAGCAAACAGGAUUAGAUACCCUGGUAGUCCACGCCGUAAACGAUGUCGACUAGCCGUUGGUCCUAUUUACAGGAUUAGUGGCGCAGCUAACGCAUUAAGUCGACCGCCUGGGGAGCACGGCCGCAAGGUUAAAACUCAAAUGAAUUGACGG
rnacentral:rRNA from 1 species